ensembl:lncRNA
GUGAAAUAAGGAAUUUUAUUAGAAAGCAAAUAUUUCAGUAUUGCAUUUGUAAAUGAAUCAGUGAGUUGAAUGACACCAGAGUCAAAAGUCAAAACCAGUUCGAAUUCGAACGGAAAUUUCUCGUUCAGUCAGAGUCGUUAAAAGGCGUAAACAACAGUUUUGUUUUUCCGAAACGUGGCCGUUUGAAGCGUCUCAGUCGUCUGUGUAGAGUAUAUCCCCGGCUGUUCUGCGUCCUGGGACCAACUGGACCUCUAAUAUUAGAGAUCCCCAAAAAAUGAGAGAUGAGAGAUGGAGAGAGAGAGAGAGAGAGAGAGAGAGAGAGAGAGAGACUGAGAGAAUCCUCUGUAAAAGCUGAAAGCAAAAAGCAGCAAAAGGUUUGUAGAAUUUCAGCUAAGUGCUAACAAAAUGUAAAAUUAGUGCACGUUUGUUCUCUGAUUGUCUGCGCUCUGAGCACAUGGCUUUUCUUUCUUUUCCCGCCAGCUUUCACACCAAAAUGGUAAAGUGCUGGCGUUAAUUAUUCUUCUAAGACUCACACACAUACACACAAAUACACAAUUCAGUCCUCAUAAAUCAGAAAUUCAAGGGUUCGAGGGUCAAAGGCCAUCAAUGAACUAAAACUGAUAUCCAAUCAGGAGUUUGUCUAAUCUAUUCAUCGACUGACACUGUUUGAAUGUUUGCUGAAAUCUGAAAAAAAUAAAAAAAAUUCAAAAUCCCUUUUUUUUUUUUUUUUUUACAAUUAUGCAAUCCUGUUUUUAAAAAUCUCAGCACAUUUAAACACAUCCACUGUUCCGGAAGCUUCUUGAUAUCGUUAUUUAACUAUUGCAGAUUUUCUUAACACAAAGAAAUAACAAAUCAUCAUCAUCAUCAUUCAGAUCAACAAACAGAAUGAAAACAGAUGACUUGCAUGCCCUACAUCAUCGUUUAUUUUUUAGAAAUUCUAAAUGCUGUCCGGUUUAGAACAAAAUAUCAACCAGCCAAAUGAGUUGAAUGAUCCGAGUCACUGAAAAGAGCAGGGAUUCCCAUGACUAAAGCACACGGAUGAUUCACGAUUCAUAUACUAGAGUUGACUCAAAAACGACUCUUUGCCAUUUUGUUCUAAACAGAAUCGAAUUUAUUUUUGAGUUGGAAGAGUCAACUCUUUUUGUUGAGCUGAGUCAAAUGAUCUGACUCACUGAAAAGAGCGGAAAUUCCCAUCACAGGAAGUACACCACUGAUUCAUGAGUCGCUUAAAAGAUUCGACCGCAAGAGUCGAGCUACGAGAGUCCGCUCUUUGCCAUUUUGUUCUUAACCGGACAUAACAUCAACGAGUUGUUUGAGAGCAAAAAGAGUCGACUCUUAUUUUCAGUGAGUCAAAUAAUCUGACUCACUGAAAAGGGCCUGAAUUCUCAUCAGUAAAGUUCACAAGGUGAGUUACGAUUCAUGAUUCACGGCUCUGUUGAAACAGACGAAGGAAUACAAAUACGCAAAAACUCAUGAUCAGUUUUUAAAACUCAUCGUUUGUCCUUUGGACCCGUCUCUCACACAUCUCAGGGAAAAAAGCCAACCCCUCUUUUGCAGUUUGUGCAAAAGCAAUCAGCCAAAAUUAGUGCCAAAAUUUAGAGACCGUGAAGUCUUAAUGACGGAAAUAGCAUCUACAAUAUAAAAAAAAAAACCCCACACACACAUACACCUAUAACUAUAACUAUAAAUUAGCCUGUCGCUCCACGUCGGACAGCGUUAUGCUACCACAAACAGCGCUUUCCCAGCGUUCGGUUUAGCGAUCGACAUUCUUCUGAGUUCCUCUCAGCAUCUAGUGCAACGGUUUACAUAGAUUUAGAGCCUAAUACCUGUCAGAAAAGUAAAUGAAAGACGAAUUUUGCAAUAUCGCAGGUGCAGAAAGAAAAGAAAAAAAGAGAUGCAGGAUUAAAUACAACUCCUAUCAGAGCAACGAAUCAGAUCGUUUUACAGUACGUUCUUUACUACGGUUUCACGCAUACUAACUGAAGGAUCGCAGAAUUUCACCUCCUCGGCCUGUACUGUACAUAAAGCUAUAGUUUGAAUCAUUUAUGAACAUGCACCAGAAAAGAUUCAGUCAGUUUCAAAGAUCGUCAGAAUCCUUAGGUAUGUUUAAGUAGCUACAAUUCAAAAAAAGAAAGAAAAAGGCCAAAUCCUUGAUUCGACAUCAUCACACGUGUCUCCUGCACCUUACUGAGGUUUAACAGAGGAAGUGUUUCUGUCUGUCACACUAAUAGUCUCGUUAAGGCACUGAUACUCGUCGUACAUAUACAUACAGAUUUAUCUACAGCGUUAGGAGUCAAUAUGUGUUCGUUAGAAACACUGAGUUUCCUCUUUACUACGUAAUAAUAGACCGGAAAAGGGAUGUAUAAUUAAAUACGAUGAAAUUUCCGCUUUUACCGCAAAUGUAGUCGAUCAUCCGAGGCAUUUCGGUGUCUGCAGUGUGCUAUCUGGAGCUACAAGGCUAAUGUUUUGUAAAAAAAAUAUCCGCCUCAAACCCGCAUCCAGUUCUUCAGUGAUACACGUGUGUGGAUGUGGUUUAGGACAGUGGUUUUAAAAGUGGGGGCCGCCAGGGGGCGCCCGGGAGGCCUCAACAAUUUGUUGUGAAAAAUAAAUUCUCACUCUCAGACAACCACACACACACACACACACACACACACACACACACACAAUCAGUUCUUAAUGUAAUGUAAUGAUGUAAGAUGUAAUUAUUAAUAAAAAAGGGGGGAUGUAUUCAGAAGUCUGUAUUUUUAAUGUGUUUUAAGGACAUCUUGCAAAAGUGGGGCCUCGGUCAAAUGUUAAUGCCAUUUGGGGGGCCUCACCCUGGAAGAGUUUGGGAACCCCUGGUUUAGGAGACUGUACGAUGUCAUUUGUCUCUAUGAACAGGAAGUAAAUUUCGCCGUGUAGAGGAACACUGGAACGUGCUCGGACGGGAUUAGUUUUACUUGAGGAGGUGUUGUAAUGUAAUUAAUACCGAAGUAUGUCUGGGAUUUCCAUGUAUAGUUCCUUGUAUAGUUAAAGGAUCAUUGUUUUCUAUCAUCGCUAACAUUCUCACUUUUCUGUGAAGUCUUUCGCAGCGAUGUUUGUUGGUAAACGAGACCUCUUGGCUGUACUCAUGUUCGGCGCGCGUGAACACGAGAGGGCUUUGGCCGAACGGCCGUCGCCACGACAUCACGUGACGUGUCUCGUCCCGAAUCUGCGGAAAAUACGCGGUAAAAAAAAGAUCAAAAUCGCAAGCUCUUCCGAAUACUGCGAAGUUUCGUUGACUUUGCGUUCAUUUCUGCGAUCGCGAAAGUGCGAAAUCCUUCAGGGACUGCUUAAAGCAUCUAAAGAAAUUCACUAGGGGGCAGUGCAGAGCCAAAACAUCCCUCAUUACCACCGCAACGCCCCGAUGGACCACUUACGUUCGAUUUUACAUCAUGUAAAAUAAUAGAAAUGGAAGUAGUUGAUGAUGAUGCGUCUGCUAAGGAAAUGGGGAAAAAAAAACAAAAAACAUCAGCACUGGUGUCAAAAUAGACUAAUGAACUAAUCUAGUCUCGCGUUUAUCUCCCUCGUCGUACGGUCACGCAUCACGCAUCCCGCACGUGUCGUUUAGUUCAGCUUCCCGUACGUUUACGUUAGAAUUUCACCACACCUACACUCCCCCUUCAUUUCUUUUAAACAAUAAACGCAUGCUAUAGCCCAAGUCUAACACAAGGCCUACUUGGAAAACCCCCUCUCUUUAAAUGUUCCCAUGACUCCCGGACAAACCAACCGACGCUUCGAAAUGUUCCUUUUCUUUCUUUCUGAAAGCGCAAACUCACACCACAGAGAGAAGGCAGGCGUACGAAAGGCAACGCUGGAGUCACAUGACUCACAAAGCCAUCCGGAUAUUUCACCCGGAAUAUUCCAGGUGAAGCAAAAGCACAUCAGGCGUUACAUGAGAGAAUUUCAUUGCGAGCGGUUCAUUGAAUCCUAACGCAACGUAAAAAGUAGCGAGGUGCGAUUUGUGCUAACAAACUACCUAACGUUUUAUAACGUAGCGUAAGCCCCGCCUCUCGCGGUUAGAAAACUGUACUGGAAUUUAAGCUGGAAGAUCUUAGCAUGAUUUAAAAAAAAUCUCUUUAUUUUUUUGGAUUAAACUUGUAGGACUACUCGUUAGCUACAUUAUCCUCGUAGCUCCAGGCCGCGAGCCGGAAAAACGCCGGCCGAUCGACUGCAUUAGGGUUCGAGGUGAAACCGUACGCAUCUGAUUUUUUUUGGGCUAAAACGUUCCUCUAAAGGCAAUUUCAACAAACCUGAAGAUUCUGACUGAGAGAAAACAAUAUUCUGAUCCAAUCUCCGGCUUUCAAACCACAACUCUGCAAUGCUCUCUCGCUCUCUCUCUCUCUCUCGCUCGCUCUCUCUCUCUUCCUUCUGAUGAUGUUCUGUUCAAAAUAAAAAAAAAUUUUAAAAAAAAAAGAACAACUUGGAUUUCUUCAUUGCUGUGUCCUGGGA